CAGAGGAUAGUUUAAAUAAAAUAUUAAUUUUGGAGGUUAAUGAUAAAAGUUAUUUUUCCUUUGA
rnacentral:tRNA from 1 species